rnacentral:SRP_RNA from 1 species
CCAUACUAGACGGGGAGUUAGCGGUGCCUUGUAAUCUGCAAUCCGCUAUAGCAGAGUUGAAAUCCCGUCUGAGGGUUAAUAGCAGUGGAGCAGCCGCAUGUAAGCGGUUAUGAGGGCUGGGUCUUGUGCAAUCGAAGCUUGUGAACCUCGUCAGGUCUUAGCGGAAGCAGCGAUAAAUGAGAUACUCGGUGUGCCAUAAGAGCGCCUGGCCUGAGCCUUUUAUAUGUAAAGCGUCUGUUGUUAUUAUUCGAAGACGGGUGUAUGG